rnacentral:rRNA from 1 species
CGACGUGAGUAACCUGCCCUGGAGUGGGGAAUAACAGCUGGAAACAGCUGCUAAUACCGCAUAAUGCAGUUGGGUCGCAUGGCUCUGACUGCCAAAGAUUUAUCGCUCUGGGAUGGACUCGCGUCUGAUUAGCUAGUUGGUGGGGUAACGGCCCACCAAGGCGACGAUCAGUAGCCGGACUGAGAGGUUGGCCGGCCACAUUGGGACUGAGACACGGCCCAGACUCCUACGGGAGGCAGCAG